GCUGGGAGAGCACCUCCCUUACAAGGAGGGGGUCACUGGUUCGAGCCCAGUAUCGACCA
rnacentral:tRNA from 1 species